CUACGGGGGGCUGCAGUGGGGAAUAUUGGGCAAUGGUCUCCCUCCUUCCCCAUCCCCUCCGCGUGAGGGAAGAAGGUUUUCGGAUUGUAAACCUCUGUCCUUGGGGACGAAGAAGUGACGGUACCCAAGGAGGAAGCUCCGGCUAACUACGUGCCAGCAGCCGCGGUAAUACGUAGGGAGCAAGCGUUGUCCGGAAUUACUGGGCGUAAAGGGUGCGUAGGCGGCAUAUUAAGUCAGGUGUGAAAUACUCGGGCUCAACCCGGGGGCUGCAUUUGAAACUGAUAUGCUUGAGUGUGAGAGAGGAAAGUGGAAUUCCUAGUGUAGCGGUGGAAUGCGUAGAUAUUAGGAGGAACACCAGUGGCGAAGGCGACUUUCUGGCUCAUAACUGACGCUGAGGCACGAAAGCGUGGGGAGCAAACAGGAUUAGAUACCCCAGUAGUC
rnacentral:rRNA from 1 species